rnacentral:rRNA from 1 species
GAUGAACGCUAGCGACAGGCCUAACACAUGCAAGUCGAGGGGCAGCACGGAGUAAGCUUGCUUACUUUGGUGGCGACCGGCGCACGGGUGCGUAACAGGUGUGCAAUCUGUCCAUAAUCGGGGAAUAGCCCAGCGAAAGUUGGAUUAAUGCUCCAUGUGAGUAAUAGAGGCAUCUCUUUUAUUUGAAACGUAAGGAUUAUGGGUGAGCACGCUUCUGAUUAGGUAGUUGGUGAGGUAACGGCUCACCAAGCCGACGAUCAGUAGGGGUUCUGAGAGGAAGGUCCCCCACAUUGGAACUGAGACACGGUCCAA